rnacentral:rRNA from 1 species
ACAAUGUGUGACUCUUUAUGGGUUAUGCAAUUGGAAUGACUACAAUUUAAAGAGUUUAAGAAGGAUCAAUUGGAGGGCAAGUCUGGUGCCAGCAGCCGCGGUAAUUCCAGCUCCAAUAGGACAUAUCAAAGUUGUUGCAGUUAAAAAGCUCGUAGUUGAAUUUCUGGAAGGUAGAAGUGUUUUUUUUAGAGAAGCAAUUUUUUAUUAAAAGCACCGCUUUCCAUUUUGUGGAUUUCUGUUUUGUAUGAGAUAGUUUACUCUAUUUUAUAUAAAAUACCACUCCGUCACUGAGAGCAAAUUGGAGUGCUCAAAGCAGGCUUUAUUAGCUUUGAACAUUUUAGCUUGGAAUGACAAGAUAUGACUUUUGUUUUAUUUUGUUGGUUAUGAAAUAAAAGUAAUGAUUAACAGGAACAGUUGCGGGGGUACUCGUAUUGAAAGGUCAGAGGUGAAAUUCUUGGAUUUUUUCAAGACGAACGACUGCGAAAGCAUUUACCAAGGAUGUUUUCAUUAAUCAAGAACGAAAGCUCGGGGAUCGAAGAUGAUUAGAUACCAUCGUAGUCCGACGCCAUAAACGAUGCCGACUCGGGAUUAUUUUGUUUGUUUAAAAUAAAAAAGAACACAAAGUAGCACCGUAUGAGAAAUCAAAGUCUUUGGGUUCCGGGGGGAGUAUGGUCGCAAGGCUGAAACUUAAAGGAAUUGACGGAAGGGCACACCAGAGGUGGAGCCUGCGGUUUAAUUUGACCCAACACGGGGAAACUUACCAGGUCCAGACAUGAUGAGGAUUGACAGUUUGAAAGCACUUUCUUGAUUUCAUGGGUGGUGGUGCAUGGCCGUUCUUAGUUGGUGGAGUGAUUUGUCUGGUUGAUUCCGAUAACGAACGAGACGGGGUGAAUUUACUAGUUUGUUAUAUAAUUUACGUUAUAUAAGACUUCUUUAUUCGACAACUUGGUUUUACCAAGAGGAAGCGCCCCGCAAUAACAGGUCUGUGAUGCCCUUAGAUGUUCUGGGCUACACGCGCGCUACAAUGACGAAUUCAACGAGUUUAAAAUUUAUUCCUUAUCCGGAAGGAUGUGGGUAAUCUUUUCAAUAUUCGUCGUGAUGGGGCUAGAUUUUUGCAAUUAUUAAUCUUCAACGAGGAAUCUCUAGUAUGUGCAAGUCAUCAGCUUGCGCAGAAUGCGUCCCUGCCCUUUGUACACACCGCCCGUCGCACCUACCGAUUGGACGAUCCGGCAAGAUGUUUGGAGUUGUUUUGAUUGUAGAGUAAUUUAUGAUGAAAAUGACAAAGCUCUUCAAACCUUAUCGUCUAGAGGAAGGUGAAGUCGUAACAAGGUCUCCGUAGGUGAACCUGCGGAGG